CUUGCUAAACAUAAGAGGUCCAGCCUGCCCAGUGACAUAGUUUAACGGCCGCGGUAUCCUAACCGUGCGAAGGUAGCAUAAUCACUUGUUCUCUAAAUAGGGACUAGUAUCAACGGCAUCACGAGGGCUACACUGUCUCCUUCCUCCAAUCAGUGAAACUGAUCUCCCCGUGAAGAAGCGGGGAUAAGAAUAUAAGACGAGAAGACCCCAUGGAGCUUCAAGCACUGUACUCACCCGCUUUCUCUUACAACAACAUAGCUUUUAAGCCUGCGUACUAGCUUUUGGCUGGGGGGACCGCGGAGUACAAUUUAACCUCCGCAACAAAUGGGCUUCGCCCUUAUCUACGAACCACAACUCUAAGAACCAAUAAACUGAUGUACUUUGACCCGACCUAUCGAUCAACGAACCA
rnacentral:rRNA from 1 species